GCAGAAGUAGUUCAGAGGUAGAAUACAACCUUGCCAAGGUUGGGGUCGCGGGUUCGAAUCCCGUCUUCUGCUCCA
rnacentral:tRNA from 1 species